rnacentral:rRNA from 1 species
CACGUAGGGUGCGAGCGUUGUCCGGAAUUAUUGGGCGUAAAGAGCUCGUAGGCGGCCUGUCGCGUCGGGAGUGAAAGCCCACUGCUUAACGGUGGGUCUGCUUCCGGUACGGGCGGGCUGGAGUAUGGCAGGGGAGACUGGAAUUCCUGGUGUAGCGGUGGAAUGCGCAGAUAUCAGGAGGAACACCGGUGGCGAAGGCGGGUCUCUGGGCCAUUACUGACGCUGAGGAGCGAAAGCGUGGGGAGCGAACAGG